UAGGGAAUCUUCCGCAAUGGGCGAAAGCCUGACGGAGCAACGCCGCGUGAGUGAUGAAGGUCUUCGGAUCGUAAAACUCUGUUAUUAGGGAAGAACAUAUGUGUAAGUAACUGUGCACAUCUUGACGGUACCUAAUCAGAAAGCCACGGCUAACUACGUGCCAGCAGCCGCGGUAAUACGUAGGUGGCAAGCGUUAUCCGAAAUUAUUGGGCGUAAAGCGCGCGUAGGCGGUUUUUUAAGUCUGAUGUGAAAGCCCACGGCUCAACCGUGGAGGGUCAUUGGAAACUGGAAAACUUGAGUGCAGAAGAGGAAAGUGGAAUUCCAUGUGUAGCGGUGAAAUGCGCAGAGAUAUGGAGGAACACCAGUGGCGAAGGCGGCUUUCUGGUCUGUAACUGACGCUGAUGUGCGAAAGCGUGGGGAUCAAACAGGAUUAGAUACCCUGGUAGUCCACGCCGUAAACGAUGAGUGCUAAGUGUUAGGGGGUUUCCGCCCCUUAGUGCUGCAGCUAACGCAUUAAGCACUCCGCCUGGGGAGUACGACCGCAAGGUUG
rnacentral:rRNA from 1 species